AUACGGAGGGUCCGAGCGUUAAUCGGAAUUACGGGGCGUAAAGCGUUCGUAGGCGGUUUGUUAAGCAAGAUGUGAAAGCCCAGGGCUCAACCUUGGAACUGCAUUUUGAACUGGCAAACUAGAGUACUGCAGAGGGUGGUGGAAUUUCCAGUGUAGCGGUGAAACGCGUAGAGAUUGGAAGGAACAUCAGUGGCGAAGGCGGCCACCUGGACAGAUACUGACGCUGAGGAACGAAAGCGUGGGGAGCGAACAGGAUUAGAAACCCUAGUAGUCC
rnacentral:rRNA from 1 species